CUUGGAGGAAGUCUGCAAACUUCAUAAUGCGAUUUUUCCUUUAUACAACAGAGUACAUUGAAGUCGAGAUAUCGUUUCGGUUGCCCCGCGUAAGCAUGGGCGAUUCGAUUGUUGCUUGACAACAU